rfam:Triticum urartu cultivar G1812 contig1451776, whole genome shotgun sequence.
CAUAUACUCCCUUCGUCCGGAAAUACUUGUCAUUAAAAUGGAUGUAUCUAUAUGUAUUUUAGUUCUAGAUAUAUCCAUUUUGAUGACAAAUAUUUCCGAACGGAGGGAGUACAUC